rnacentral:SRP_RNA from 2 species
GCCGGGUGUGGUGGUGCACACCUGUAGUCCCAGCUACUUGGGAGGCUGAGACAGGAGAAUUGCUUGAACCCAGGAGGUGGAGGUUGCAGUGAGCCAAGAUCUCACCACUGCACUCCAGCCUGGGUGAGGGAGCAAGACUCUGUCUCAA